rnacentral:pre_miRNA from 1 species
CACCUACUCCCUCCGUUUGGAAUUACUUGUCGCAAAAAUGGAUGUAUCUAGACGUAUUUUAGUUUUAGAUACAUCCAUUUCCGAGACAAGUAAUUCCGAACGGAGAGAAUAGUAC